AGCAGCCGCGGUAAUUCCAGCUCCAAUAGCGUAUAUUAAAGUUGCUGCAGUUAAAAAGCUCGUAGUUGAAUUUCGGGACUAAUAUGUCGGUUGUGCCUCGGUACGUACUGGCAUUGUUGGUUUCUCCCUUCUGACGGACCAUGAUGUCAUUUAUUUGGUGUCGUGGGAAAUCAGGACUGUUACUUUGAAAAAAUUAGAGUGUUUAAAGCAGGCUCACGCUUGAAUACAUUAGCAUGGAAUAAUGAAAUAGGACGUUUGAUUCUAUUUUGUUGGUUUCUAGGAUCGACGUAAUGAUUAAUAGGGAUAGUUGGGGGCAUUAGUAUUCAAUUGUCAGAGGUGAAAUUCUUGGAUU
rnacentral:rRNA from 1 species